UACGAAGGGGGCUAGCGUUGCUCGGAAUCACUGGGCGUAAAGCGCACGUAGGCGGAUCUUUAAGUCAGGGGUGAAAUCCUGGAGCUCAACUCCAGAACUGCCUUUGAUACUGGGGAUCUCGAGUCCGGGAGAGGUGAGUGGAACUGCGAGUGUAGAGGUGAAAUGCGUAGAUAUCUGGAGGAAUACCGGUGGCGAAGGCGGCAUCCUGGACCGGCAUUGACGCUGAGGAGCGAAAGCCAGGGGAGCAAACGGG
rnacentral:rRNA from 1 species